rnacentral:ncRNA from 1 species
CAUGGCCUGUCGUUACUACCGAGAUAGAUUUAUUUAGUGAGUGAGGUCUCCGGACGUGAUCACUGUACCACGUAUGUGUUACGGAUGUAUCGCAAAAGUUGUCCAAACUUGAUUAUUUAGAGAAAGUAGAAAAGUCAUAACAAGAUUUCCAUAGGUGAACCUGCGGAAU